rnacentral:lncRNA from 1 species
AAGAGGAAAGUCAAUAAGAAAGAAAGGCCCGAGGGAAGAAGGAUUGUCAAGCACACGACAGUGUUAAGUAAAAGAGAGGUGUUAAGGGAAAGCAGACUAGAAUGAGGAACAGAGGUCCCUGGCAGUGUGGCCUUGCAGUAGCUCUCAACCAGAUUCCCAAGGAACACCUGCUACUCUGCAGGUGAGUGUGCCCCACCCCAGAGAUUCGAACUUAGCACUUUUGUAUUGGGAAGAUUUCCAGCUGGUGUGAAGGUGGCUACCAGGGCAUCACCCCCAGCAGCUGGCUGUACCAGGAGGAAAUGGGCCACGAGCUAUUUCAGUGGUCUGACAGCUGCCUAGGGGUUCCAAUGCCCCAAGGUGCUUCAGAGGAAGCCUUCUACCUGAGCUUAAACCAGGCCUAGCAGAUGAGAAUCUGUUGUCCCUCAUUUGCUCGGUGAUCCGGAUGCUCUACACUAGUUCAGUGACUCCUCGGACUUUUCUGAUGCUUACAGACCUGAAAUCUGGGCUCUUCAGGUAAAUGUCUGUAACGGGUGAGGGGGUGCAUAAAACACAUAAAACAAAUAUGUAGCCCACAAGCUUGCAAGUGCAGCUACAAGACUGGGUGUGACUUCAUGCUUAGGAACUCAACACGUUGCUAAUGUGUAAAACCACAAUCGGGAAGACCAUUGGAACUGUGGUCACAGAUCUAGCUAUGUCUGAAAAAAAUUUCAAACGUGGGAACAAAUUUAAGUAAGCAAAUGCAAAUAGAGAUUUUUUUUUAAGCUAAUAGCUUUCACAAAUAUCUAUUGUAUUUUACUUUUGCAAUAAAAUAAAUACGCAUUUACGCUGCAACUGGAACUGCAAGAUUUUCAAGAAGCCUCGCUGGUGAAGAGUCUUUUGUUCUAAGGGAUAGAUUAAAAAGCUCACCUGUAUUUGAACACAAAUAUUUAGAUAUUAGCAAAUAAUUGUGUCUACAUGACGCAUAACGCUCACCUGCAGUGGAACACAAAAACUUCUAUUGAGUGAAAUUUGCCUGCUCCUGGCCUAGGAACACAGAUUCAGAUUGCCCUAAUAACAAAUUCCAAUGAGAAGACCGACCUUCCUGUACUUCUAGUUACAGAACUGAAGUCAUAAGUUAAGGUACUUUUUAGAUAUCUUGGUAGGGAUACCACAUAGGUAGGAUUCACCAAACAGAAAUUUCUGCUGUGAAUCUUUGAUGUUAUUCUUGCUUAUGCCAUUCUUAGCUUUUGGGCUGGUGGAAGCUACUGAUUUUCUAAGUAAAUAUAUCCUGAAAGAUUGUAUCUGAUAUCCGGGAGGAUGUUAGAGCAGAUACAGGGGUGGGAGUGAAUGACUACUUAAAAACCAAAGGCAGAGCAAGAUAAUUCAUCUUUGGAUCUGCAACAUUCCAACUCUCUACAAUUAGUGAAGUUCUAAGCAUGUGGGUGGCCCUGUCGAAUCUUUAAUGUAGGUGUGGUUUUCAGGAGCCUAGUCCGCAGUUCUAUCUUUUGGCCAAGAAUCAUCUUUUGUGCAUUUGGAGGCCAAAUAUUGUGUAGAGCUCAGUAGGC